rnacentral:misc_RNA from 1 species
GCAAUAUCAAAAAAUGAAAGUCAUUAAUUUUAGAUUUGUAGUGAAAUAACCAAAUACCAAGACUGUACGAAACAGCCGCAUACUUCUCUGAGAAAGUUCUCUCUCACUUUCCUUAAUGAGCAAGAUGCAAGCAAAGCUAUCACAGCCUCCUUGAUGGCAUCAAUCAAAACCUGAUGCUACGUUGAUAAUAACAUGAUUGUCUGUGUUGUUCACUACUUGGAUUAUUUUGAUUACAAGUUUCUUUUGUUGUAAAGUAGUAUCAUGGCCGGUUUUCUUGAAUAUUCAGUUCAUGUCUCUCUGAUGCUACUCACAAUAUUUUCACAGUUGAUGAAUUAAACUUGAUCUUGGAAGUGCUACUAAUCCAAUUCCCAGGACCUCAGCACUCCUACAAAACCCAACAUUUAGCAGUUCAGAAACAUAAGAACUAUAGACUAUAAAAACCAAAAUAACAUCUGCAGUUUUUACAUGGCUCAUAUUACAAAACUAAAAGUUGAAGGUUCAACAAAAUCUUAAGCUUGUUACAAUUUGGUUCAUCUCUUAGGAUGUAAUGGGAGAUGGACUCCUUGAUUGCACCCAAGUUACUAAAUCCUCACGUGUUGCUACAAAACAACCAGCUCUUUCUUCACUCUGCCGAAAUGGUGCAGAAAGUUUUUCAACAUGGGAAGCAAAUGCAUUGGCUAGUCCUCGAGAGAAUUUGUGAGUUCCCGUACCAGUGUGAGCUGAAAAAAUUUCUGGCAAUUCCUUUUUGCGAUGAACAAAUUUGGAUAAAGUUCCCAUCCAUUCUUCAAGUGCAGUAUGGGCUGCACCAACAGACAGUGAGCGAACAUCCAAACUCCACUCAUCUACAGUUUUGUUGUGUAAAUCUGGAUAUAAACCAUAAAGAGUUCCCAGAUAUAGCAGCUCAUGUGCUCUGCCAUGAAGAUUUCUAUUACGACAUACAUCAAUCAAGCAGUUACAAAAGGGUCUUCGUGCUUCUACUGCAGUGUCACUGACAAUAGCCCUAAACUCCUCCUUAACAGUCUCAUAGCUAGUUUUUUCAUCUUCAAUCAACCUCACAAGUGCAACCAACCUUGGAUUAGCUUGCUGCAAACAAGUCAGUACCCUGUUGGCAUCCUCACUCUCCUCACAAAGUGACACAACAGAGAGCAAGCAACCACAAAGUCUAUCAUCUGGUUUAACCCCUCCCUCAAUUGAAACAUUGAAAACCCUAACCAGAUCAUCAAUUCUCCUAGCUUUUCCUAAGCACUGAAUCAAACAAGUGCAUCCCAUCACAUUUAUAUCAACGCCCAACUCAGACAUCUCUUCAAACAGCUCCAUUGCCUUACUGGCAUUCCCUCCGCUACCAUAUAUGUUUAGCAUCGCUGUGAAGCUCCAACUAUCUGGCCUACAGUGCUCUGAUCUCUUCAUAUCCUCAAAUAAUCUCUCAGCCUCCUCCUCCAUACCAAGAUCUGCACACAUGCUCAGCAAUGUAUUAUACAAAAUGAAAUCCAUUGGCCAAUCAUUUGAUCUCAUUCGUUCCCAUAGUUCCAUUGCAUCCUUAGCCCACCUAGCCUUCCCAUAAAUCUUGGCCAGUGCAGUUAAUGAUUUCUCAUUUGGGGUUAGCCCUGAUUCCACCAUUUCCUCGAACAAACUCCUAGCCAGACCAGGUUUCCCAGCUCUGCCCAUUGCCUCUAGCAAUGUAUUGUACACAACCAAAUUAGGCUGUACACCUACAGAUUUCAUUUCUUGCAAUACGAACCUAAUUCCAUCAUAGUCCCCUGCUUCACCAAACAUCUUUGCCAAAACAGAGAAUGUAAUGGGAUCAGGUUUCCACCCACUAGCUACCCCUCUCUCAUACAAACUUAACACCUCCUCAACCUUCCCCAAUUUAGCAUAAACAUCUAAAACAGCAGAAUACGUAACCUCAUCAGGCAUUAAACCAGUUUUAUACAUUCUCUCAAACCACUCCAAUGCCUUAUCAAACAUCUUGCACCUCUUAGCACAAGUUAUAAUAGUUGAAUAUGUAAUGUUGUCAAGUUCAAUUUCAUUGCUUACCAUCUCAUUUGCGAGGUUGUCAAUGAGCUCAAACUGCCGUCCAAACCGCAAAGACUUCAUCGUGACAUUGUAGAAUAUAGUCUCCAUAGGAAACAAAUUCUGGGUCUUGAGCCAAUUGAAAAAAAGAUGAGCCUUUUGCCAUGGUUUCAAGCUAUUAAGUAUCAAGAGAGCAUUUUCUCUGGUGAGUGGAUAAGGGAUUUGCUCAAGAAGAGAUAUAAAAGCACUCUCACUAGAAGAAUCACAGUCGUUCAGCUUCUGUGCAAAGAGUCUCAACUCUUUGACCUUGGGAUUGAGCGAGUAAGGAGACCGCUUUUGCCUUUGAAGUGAAAGCACAGACCUUCUGGGUUUUGUGGGGUUGACCCAUGUGGACUUUGGUUUGGAUAAGAGAUGAGUUCUUUGGUCUUUGGUGGUGGAGAGUGUGGUGGCAGAGAGAGGCUUGAGUUGGUCAGAUAAAGAUGGGUUUUUGGGGUUGGGUGAUUCCUUGAGAUUUUGAGAUGUUUUUGGAGAAGAUUGGGACGAAUUGCAGGAAAUGGGGAGUCUUUUUUUUAUAGAACUUUUCCUGAUUGUUGCAGUGAAGAAAAUGGGUCUUCUUUUAUCAGACUGUGGUAUUGUAAGACGGAAAUCUGGAGCUGCAGAGAGAUUAGAAGCCAUUACUGAAUGAGAGAGCUGUGUAAUCGGUUCAAGAAAUAUCCGUUGCUUAUCUACCGUGUUAUGGCUGAAUUGUGAUGAUGUCUUUUCUGAUAUUUUG